rnacentral:rRNA from 1 species
GGGUGAGUAACACGUGGGUAACCUGCCCAAGAGACUGGGAUAACACCUGGAAACAGAUGCUAAUACCGGAUAACAACACUAGACGCAUGUCUAGAGUUUGAAAGAUGGUUCUGCUAUCAUUCUUGGAUGGACCUGCGGUGCAUUAGCUAGUUGGUAAGGUAACGGCUUACCAAGGCAAUGAUGCAUAGCCGAGUUGAGAGACUGAUCGGCCACAUUGGGACUGAGACACGGCCCAAACUCCUACGGGAGGCAGCAGUAGGGAAUCUUCCACAAUGGACGAAAGUCUGAUGGAGCAACGCCGCGUGAGUGAAGAAGGGUUUCGGCUCGUAAAGCUCUGUUGGUAGUGAAGAAAGAUAGAGGUAGUAACUGGCCUUUAUUUGACGGUAAUUACUUAGAAAGUCACGGCUAACUACGUGCCAGCAGCCGCGAUAAUACGUAGGUGGCAAGCGUUGUCCGGAUUUAUUGGGCGUAAAGCGAGUGCAGGCGGUUCAAUAAGUCUGAUGUGAAAGCCUUCGGCUCAACCGGAGAAUUGCAUCAGAAACUGUUGAACUUGAGUGCAGAAGAGGAGAGUGGAACUCCAUGUGUAGCGGUGGAAUGCGUAGAUAUAUGGAAGAACACCAGUGGCGAAGGCGGCUCUCUGGUCUGCAACUGACGCUGAGGCUCGAAAGCAUGGGUAGCGAACAGGAUUAGAUACCCUGGUAGUCCAUGCCGUAAACGAU